UGGGAAUUUUCCGCAAUGGGCGAAACCCUGACGGAGCAAUACCGCGUGAGGGAGGAAGGCUUUUGGGUUGUAAACCUCUUUUCUCAAGGAAGAAAAAAAUGACGGUACCWGAGGAAUCAGCAUCGGCUAACUCCGUGCCAGCAGCCGCGGUAAUACGGAGGAUGCAAGCGUUAUCCGGAAUUAUUGGGCGUAAAGCGUCCGCAGGUGGCAGUUCAAGUCUGCUGUCAAAGMCCGGAGUCA
rnacentral:rRNA from 1 species